CAUGGGUCCCACCAGGAUUAUCAGGAUAAUAGUGGAUUUGAAGUGCCAGAGACCAGCUCCAGUUGCAAGGUUCAGGUCCUGAGACCGGGAAGGGGUGUUGUCACUGAAGGGGUGAAGAGACUGAGCACCUGUUAACUUUCAACAUCUGACAUGAGAGAUGAAGAACCUGUAAGCAGUGAUAACACAUGAAGGAUUAGAACUCAGGAUCCCAUGAGCUUAGGAAGGAAAAGACUUAUGAGAAUCAUCAAGACAAAAUAGAAACAUACAGAAGGAAACAGACAGAUUUACAGAUGGAUGAACCAUAAACGUGCUCUCAGGUGGUUGAGAGAUAUUGAUGAUGUCUGUUCAUAGCAAGGU